UAUUGCACUACUAAUUUAAUUUAGUCUGUUAGGAAGUAGCCAAAUUCAAUCUUGCUCACAGAGCUACUCAGAAGGUCGCUGCUUACACUGCACAAUGGCAUUCCCAACGAACGAGGUUUCGGCUACCACUAAUGAUGUUGAAACAGUUUUGAACGAAAUAUGUGAAGUGCUCAAAGCCCAUGAAGAUAGAUAUGAUGGUGUAAUUGUUGACACAGAGAAUAUGCAGAACGAUGCUUGUCGUUUUGCAGCUUCACUGAAGGCAUCACUUUCUCAAUGGGCACGCCAGGUCAGGGCUUACUGCUUUGUUAACUCUAAAUACAUAUCCCUCAAGACAAUAAUAAAUAGUACCCUCAAUUCAUCAUACUUGUUGGGUAUAUAGGGAAAGAAGGUGGUGUGGAUUAAAGUUCCCAAGGAACAGGCGAAACUAGUACCCGUUGCGAUUGAGGUCAGUUUUUCAAAACAUCGCUGCUACCAUCGACGUUUUUUUCCCUCCAACCCAUUUGGCUAGGCUUCAAUACUGAUUGGUGGAUUACAGGUGGGAUUUGGGUACCACCACGCAGAGCCUUCAUAUGUGAUGUUAGUGCAUUGGAUCCCUCAAACUCCCCCCACCAUCCCUGAUAAUGCUUCACAUCAAGCGGGAGUUGCAGCUUUUGUAUUCAACGAGGAGGGAGAGGUAAAGAUGUAAUCCAGUUCUUAUAUAUUGUAGUUACUCUGCUUAAUAUUCUCCUCCUGUCCGUAGCAAUGUAACUGUGAAGUGUGAAAAGACAUUCACUAUUUUGAGUGGUUGUUCGUUUGAAGAGGUUUUUUUUUCCUUACAUAAAUUAUCGUGACAAUGGCAAUAUAGGUUCUAGUAGUUCAAGAAAAGUGUGGCCCUUACAAAGAUUCCGGGUUGUGGAAGAUGCCAACAGGAAGAAUUAACCAGGGGGAAGGCAUUAAGGAAGGGGCCGUAAGAGAAGUUCAGGAAGAAACAGGGGUAAAU